rnacentral:rRNA from 1 species
UACGGAGGUGGCAAGCGUUGUUCGGAAUUACUGGGCGUAAAGGGCGCGUAGGCGGCAAGGCAAGUCAGGUGUGAAAGCCCCGGGCUUAACUCGGGAAUUGCAUCUGAAACUGCUGUGCUUGAGUUCUGGAGGGGUAGUGGAAUUCCCAGUGUAGCGGUGAAAUGCGUAGAUAUUGGGAGGAACACCUGCGGCGAAGGCGGCUACCUGGACAGAAACUGACGCUGAGGCGCGAAAGCUAGGGAGCGAACGGGAUAGAUACCCCGAGACGUCCAGACAGACUCUCGCACCG